UACGUAGGGUGCAAGCGUUGUCCGGAAUUAUUGGGCGUAAAGAGCUCGUAGGCGGUCUGUCACGUCGGCUGUGAAAACCCGAGGCUCAACCUCGGGCCUGCAGUGGGUACGGGCAGGCUAGAGUGCGGUAGGGGAGACUGGAAUUCCUGGUGUAGCGGUGAAAUGCGCAGAUAUCAGGAGGAACACCGGUGGCGAAGGCGGGUCUCUGGGCCGUAACUGACGCUGAGGAGCGAAAGCAUGGGGAGCGAACAGG
rnacentral:rRNA from 1 species